rnacentral:lncRNA from 1 species
GUCGAUCUUCUGAAAAGUCGAUCCCUUGCUGGCUGAUUUCCUCGCGAGACUCCCUAGCUGGCGACUUGGAAAAAAGUCGAUCACUCUUUUCGAAAAAGUCGAGGAGCUUUUGUCGUGAGAAUCUUUGAAUCACAGACGGCACCAACUGAUGGGGGUGAAACCCGACCAGUACUCCAAGACGCGCAAGCAAGCGCCAAGCGGGGAACUCCGCGGGAAACCGGACCGGAACUCAAGUGCGCAAAGCUCUGCUUCGCUAGGAAUCCUUUCGUUCCAAAUGACCUGCCUUUAAUGAGUGGGGGGUGCCCUCUAUUUAUAGGGGUUCUUAUGGGGA